rnacentral:ncRNA from 1 species
GAUAGAGGCGCGGUGCGCAUGCGUACCGGGGGACAAGGCCAGGCAGCCGUCCUCCGGGAGAGGGCGGAUCGCCGAAGGGCGCCCUUGUCUGCCUGGACGGGGACCCUGGGCCGUUGGGAGAAGAUCCCGCGGACUGUCACAGGUUUGUGGAGCGCUAUCC